rnacentral:lncRNA from 1 species
UUUUAAGCAAUCUUAUCAAAGUCUUGAGUACUUGGUACUCAGAUUUCACUGUACACUCUUACCCAUGUCUGAGUUCCCCAGGACUGCUGUAACAAACAACAGAAAUUUGUUCUCUCACAUUUCUGGAGUCUGAAAUCAAGAUGUUAGCAAGGCCAUGCUCCCUCUGCAGGAUCUAUGGAGGAAUCCUUUGCCUCUUCCAACUUCUGGUGAUCCCAGGUAGUCCUUGCCCUCUGGCAGCAUAACUGCAACUUUCACUGCCAUCUUCACAUGGCCUCUUUUCGUCUAUGUGUGUCUUCUCCUCUUCUGAUAAGGACAGUAGGCAUUGGAUUUAGGGCCCACCCUAAAUCCAGGAUAAAUUCGCCUCAAGAUCCUUAAAUAAUUGUAUCUGCAAAGACCCUAUUUCCAAAUACAGUAGUCAGCCCUUAACCAUGAUUCCACUUUUUUUUU